CAACUCUUGAAUUCACAGCUGGCUUGUGGUUUUUGCCUCUUGUUAAAGAGCACGCAUACAGGUGGCAUUUUUCUGAAGUUGUUCAUUGACACUUCCCAGCAUUCCUGCAGAUAAAAUAGAACGGCAGCCUUAUUUCCCUACCCCCUGGGGCC